AUUGAACGCUGGCGGCAGGCCUAACACAUGCAAGUCGAACGGUAGCACAGAGAGCUUGCUCUCGGGUGACGAGUGGCGGACGGGUGAGUAAUGUCUGGGAAACUGCCCGAUGGAGGGGGAUAACUACUGGAAACGGUAGCUAAUACCGCAUAACGUCGCAAGACCAAAGUGGGGGACCUUCGGGCCUCACACCAUCGGAUGUGCCCAGAUGGGAUUAGCUAGUAGGUGGGGUAAUGGCUCACCUAGGCGACGAUCCCUAGCUGGUCUGAGAGGAUGACCGGCCACACUGGAACUGAGACACAGUCCAGACUCCUACGGGAGGCAGCAGUGGGGAGUAUUGCACAAUGGGCGCAAGCCUGAUGCAGCCAUGCCGCGUGUAUGAAGAAGGCCUUCGGGUUGUAAAGUACUUUCAGCGGGGAGGAAGGCGGUGGAGUUAAUAACUUCACCGAUUGACGUUACCCGCAGAAGAAGCACCGGCUAACUCCGUGCCAGCAGCCGCCGUAA
rnacentral:rRNA from 1 species